GUCCUGAAGAGAUGGUAUUCGGAAUCACAAAAAUCUAUCGUCAGAUGGUCGAUUUUGAGGUCGCUAAGUUAAUCAAAGAAUCGAGCUUUGAAGACGAUGAUGGCUACAUCAAUUUUAACGAAUUCCGUAAAUCGCUUCUUCUCAAAUUGCCCCUAUAAAAUCAACAGUCUUUACUGGCCCAUUUACCUUGGAUGUGCCGUCUCCAUAUAGCAGCAAGACAAAAUUAACUUCUUCUGGACAAGGGUGACAAGAAUACGAGAUUCCUUACUACAACAUGACAAGAAAACAUCCAGAAAUUAUGUCUCAAUGUCAUCCUGAGUUGAAUGAUCGUGUUGUUGCUUUGUUGGAGGGAAACGGGGGGGGGGGGGGGGGGGGCUGUGAAAUGUACAAAUAUCAGCUAAAGUUGAAUAUUGUGACCGAUUGAUUUUUAAGAGGCAAGUGUGAACAGGAGCGUCUUUUGCAAGCAAUAUUUUCGGAUGAUAUUAGGUCGUGUGGAUACGGGUAGGCAAGGUGUUGCUAGCAUCCGCCACCGUUACCAUGGUUACGUUCAAUUUAUUCAAGUGGUACAUGCGACACAACAAAUGGUUUGAUUAUACUAGUCAUGUAAUCAAUUUUGUUUAUACACGCACUGAACACAUCAUUUGCACACACCAUGUACAAGACAAAAAGAACAAAGAGUGACUAUUUUUAGCAUUAUAUUAUAUACGCUAUAUAGAUUAUUGAUUAUACGCAAUUAUAUCAAUUUGAAUAUCAUAUGUACCUGAGUUUAUAUUAUAGGAGUAUAUGAGAGGGCUGUACGAUUCUUUUAGACAAAUGUUAUUUACUAUCGUGUUGCUGACUGAAUGAAAUAAAGAAUGUUACAAAAUAUAGAUGAUUUUGGAAAAUGCAAGCCAUUUUGCAUUUAGGUUGGUGCAAAAAAGGCAUAUAUUAUAUAUAUCCAAUGAACAGCACAUACUAACCCAAACAGAACAUUUUAUACCUCACUUCUUUCUUUAAAACAUCCCUUUUAAUGACAGUACCAAGUUUAGUAAUUUUCCCCCCAAAUGUUAGCUCUGCUUUUAAGGAGUCGGGACAUGUAAUUGGGAAUGUUGGGGAUGUGUAUGUCGUAAAGUAAUGGAGGGGGUGGUUAAAUAAAGUCAUGGAGUAUAUUAAAA